rnacentral:rRNA from 1 species
CCUACGGGGGGCUGCAGUAAGGAAUAUUGGUCAAUGGAGGAAACUCUGAACCAGCCAUCCCGCGUGAAGGAUGAAGGGGCUCUGCCUUGUAAACUUCUUUUGUCUGGGGCGAAAAAGCUCGAUUUAUCGAGAACUGACGGUACCAGAAGAAUAAGCACCGGCUAACUCCGUGCCAGCAGCCGCGGUAAUACGGAGGGUGCCAGCGUUAUCCGGAUUCAAGGGGGCGUAGGGGGCCUAAGAAGGCAGAGGUGAAAUGCUGUGGCUUAACCAUGGAAGUGACAUUGAUACUGCAGAGCUUGAAUGAGGUUGAGGUUGGCGGAAUGUGACAUGUAGCGGUGAAAUGCUUAGAUAUGUCAUGGAACACCGAUUGCGAAGGCAGCUGACUGGACCUAUAUUGACGCUGAGGCACGAAAGCGUGGGGAGCGAACAGGAUUAGAUACCCCAGUAGUC